rnacentral:rRNA from 1 species
GACGAACGCUGGCGGCGUGCUUAACACAUGCAAGUCGAACGGUGAAGCGCCUUCCUUUUUGGUGGGUGUGGAUGAGUGGCGAACGGGUGAGUAACACGUGAGUAACCUGCCCCCUUCUUCUGGAUAACCGCAUGAAAGUGUGGCUAAUACGGGAUAUUCUGGGUCUGUCGCAUGAUGGGUCUGGGAAAGAUAUUGUUUCGGUGGGGGAUGGGCUCGCGGCCUAUCAGCUUGUUGGUGGGGUGAUGGCCUACCAAGGCGGUGACGGGUAGCCGGCCUGAGAGGGUGGACGGUCACACUGGGACUGAGACACGGCCCAGACCCCUACGGGAGGCAGCAGUGGGGAAUAUUGCACAAUGGGCGCAAGCCUGAUGCAGCGACGCCGCGUGAGGGAUGGAGGCCUUCGGGCUGUGAACCUCUUUCGCCAGUGAAGCAGGCCUGCCUCGUUUGUGGGUGGGUUGACGGUAGCUGGAUAAGAAGCGCCGGCUAACUACGUG